rnacentral:rRNA from 1 species
UACGUAGGGGGCAAGCGUUGUCCGGAAUCAUUGGGCGUAAAGAGCGUGUAGGCGGUUCGGUAAGUCGGCUGUGAAAGUCCAGGGCUCAACCCUGGGAUGCCGGUCGAUACUGCCGGACUAGAGUUCGGAAGAGGCGAGUGGAAUUCCCGGUGUAGCGGUGAAAUGCGCAAAUAUCGGGAGGAACACCUAUGGCGAAGGCAGCUCGCUGGGACGUUACUGACGCUGAGACGCGAAAAGCGUGGGGAGCAAACAGGGAUUAAGAUACCCUG